GACGAACGCUGGCGGCGUGCUUAACACAUGCAAGUCGAGCGGUAAGGCCCUUUCGGGGGUACGACGAGCGGCGAACGGGUGAGUAACACGUGGGUGACCUGCCCUCAGCUCUGGGAUAAGCCUGGGAAACUGGGUCUAAUACUGGAUAUGACUCCACGGUGCAUGUCGUGGGGUGGAAAGCCUUGUGCGGCUGAGGAUGGGCCCGCGGCCUAUCAGCUUGUUGGUGGGGGGAUGGCCUACCAAGG
rnacentral:rRNA from 1 species